GUAGAUUUAAGUUAAGUUUAAACUGUUAGUUUUCAAAACUAAAAAUUUUAGUCUAUAAAAUUUG
rnacentral:tRNA from 1 species